rnacentral:rRNA from 1 species
AUUGAACGCUGGCGGCAGGCCUAACACAUGCAAGUCGAGCGACCGGCGCACGGGUGAGUAACACGUAUACAACCUGCCCUUUACUCGGGGAUAGCCUUUCGAAAGAAAGAUUAAUACCCGAUAUAAAGGAUGGGGAUGCGUUCCGUUGGGUUGUUGGUGAGGUAACUGCUCGCCAAGCCUUCGAUGGAGAGGGGUUCUGAGAGGUAGGUCCCCUACAUUGGAGCUGAGACACGGUCCAAACUCCUACGGGAGGCAGCAGAGAGGAAUAUUGGUGAAUAGGCGCUAGCCGGAACCAGCCAAGUAGCGGGAAGGAUGAAGCGUUCUGGGUCGUAAACUUCUUUUAUAGAAGAAGAUGUAUUAUAUGAAUAAGGAUCGGCUAACUCCGUGCCAGCAGCCGCGGUAAUAC